rnacentral:tRNA from 1 species
GCCCAGAUGGCGGAAUUGGUAGACGCGCACGGUUCAGGUCCGUGUCGGUAAAACGGUGAAGGUUCGAGUCCUUUUCUGGGCACCA